rnacentral:rRNA from 1 species
AGAGUUUGAUCAUGGCUCAGGAUGAACGCUAGCGACAGGCUUAACACAUGCAAGUCGAGGGGCAGCACAGGUAGCAAUACCGGGUGGCGACCGGCGCACGGGUGAGUAACGCGUAUGCAACUUGCCUAUCAGAGGGGGAUAACCCGGCGAAAGUCGGACUAAUACCGCAUGAAGCAGGGAUCCCGCAUGGGAAUAUUUGCUAAAGAUUCAUCGCUGAUAGAUAGGCAUGCGUUCCAUUAGGCAGUUGGCGGGGUAACGGCCCACCAAACCGACGAUGGAUAGGGGUUCUGAGAGGAAGGUCCCCCACAUUGGUACUGAGACACGGACCAAACUCCUACGGGAGGCAGCAGUGAGGAAUAUUGGUCAAUGGGCGUAAGCCUGAACCAGCCAAGUCGCGUGAGGGAUGAAGGUUCUAUGGAUCGUAAACCUCUUUUAUAAGGGAAUAAAGUGCGGGACGUGUCCCGUUUUGUAUGUACCUUAUGAAUAAGGAUCGGCUAACUCCGUGCCGGCAGCCGCGGUAAUACGGAGGAUCCGAGCGUUAUCCGGAUUUAUUGGGUUUAAAGGGUGCGUAGGCGGCCUUUUAAGUCAGCGGUGAAAGUCUGUGGCUCAACCAUAGAAUUGCCGUUGAAACUGGGAGGCUUGAGUAUGUUUGAGGCAGGCGGAAUGCGUGGUGUAGCGGUGAAAUGCUUAGAUAUCACGCAGAACCCCGAUUGCGAAGGCAGCCUGCCAAGCCAUGACUGACGCUGAUGCACGAAAGCGUGGGGAUCAAACAGGAUUAGAUACCCUGGUAGUCCACGCAGUAAACGAUGAUCACUAGCUGUUUGCGAUACACAGUAAGCGGCACAGCGAAAGCGUUAAGUGAUCCACCUGGGGAGUACGCCGGCAACGGUGAAACUCAAAGGAAUUGACGGGGGCCCGCACAAGCGGAGGAACAUGUGGUUUAAUUCGAUGAUACGCGAGGAACCUUACCCGGGUUUGAACGCAUUCGGACCGAGGUGGAAACACCUUUUCUAGCAAUAGCCGUUUGCGAGGUGCUGCAUGGUUGUCGUCAGCUCGUGCCGUGAGGUGUCGGCUUAAGUGCCAUAACGAACGCAACCCUUGCCACUAGUUACUAACAGGUAAAGCUGAGGACUCUGGUGGGACUGCCAGCGUAAGCUGCGAGGAAGGCGGGGAUGACGUCAAAUCAGCACGGCCCUUACAUCCGGGGCGACACACGUGUUACAAUGGCGUGGACAAAGGGAGGCCACCUGGCGACAGGGAGCGAAUCCCCAAACCACGUCUCAGUUCGGAUCGGAGUCUGCAACCCGACUCCGUGAAGCUGGAUUCGCUAGUAAUCGCGCAUCAGCCAUGGCGCGGUGAAUACGUUCCCGGGCCUUGUACACACCGCCCGUCAAGCCAUGGGAGCCGGGGGUACCUGAAGUCCGUAACCGCGAGGAUCGGCCUAGGGUAAAACUGGUGACUGGGGCUAAGUCGUAACAAGGUA